UAGGGAAUCUUCCGCAAUGGGCGAAAGCCUGACGGAGCAACGCCGCGUGAGUGAUGAAGGUCUUCGGAUCGUAAAACUCUGUUAUUAGGGAAGAACAAAUGUGUAAGUAACUAUGCACGUCUUGACGGUACCUAAUCAGAAAGCCACGGCUAACUACGUGCCAGCAGCCGCGGUAAUACGUAGGUGGCAAGCGUUAUCCGGAAUUAUUGGGCGUAAAGCGCGCGUAGGCGGUUGUUUAAGUCUGAUGUGAAAGCCCACGGCUCAACCGUGGAGGGUCAUUGGAAACUGGAAAACUUGAGUGCAGAAGAGGAAAGUGGAAUUCCAUGUGUAGCGGUGAAAUGCGCAGAGAUAUGGAGGAACACCAGUGGAGAAGGCGACUUUCUGGUCUGUAACUGACGCUGAUGUGCGAAAGCGUGGGGAUCAAACAGG
rnacentral:rRNA from 1 species